GACUUCUGGUGCCUUUCUCCUGCUUGGUAGUCCAUAUCACUCAGAUUUAUUUAUUUCUGCAAUGUAUUUCUCUCUGAUGAAUGUGAAUAAGUUUGACCAAUGGAUGGAGGAGUUACAAGGGAGGGUCAGACAGAUAUGGAGGCAUGACUAUGGGCUUGUUUAAGCUUCAUUUUCACAAGGAACCAGACUAAGAUCCACCCACUAAUGAAAUACGCCCUUCUCCUGCUUAUCUGGUAAGACGCUGGAGAGUCUCAUAGCUUCCUGGUGCUCCAGUUUCACUUGCUGCAAAAUCUCCCUGUGACCUGGUGUCACCUCUGCGUUUCCCCCACUGAGACUGCACAAAGCUAGAGAAUUCUAAAGCAGCUUCUAAACAUAGGGACCCAAACUCUACCCAGUGUUGGCUCCAAGUCAGUGGACUUGCAUCUCCAACCAAAACCAACAGGAGCUGCUGUGGGGAAAAAGAGAGCUGCUAUGGAUCACCUUUCAUUUCUGGAGCUGUUUCCGCACUAAAAGCCCUGGUGUCACAACUGACUGCACAACGGACACUGGCAUCUUGGUGCCCAACAGCGUUCACAACCACAUCCCAGGUAGGACUCAUCCUCCUUGCACAAAGGAGGAGCCUGCAGACAUUGAGAAUGGGACUCAUAAAAUGGGAAGCCUUGAGCUGAAGAUCCUAUGGCACUUCAGUCAAGACAAGAACUUGAAUCUAAACCCUCUGGCCCUCAGAAGAAAGCACACUUCUCCCAGAAGAAAUGGGCAGAGAGGAGGAUUCGGGCAACCAAUUUCACAUCAGCUCCACAUCGGGCAACAGUGGGAUUAGAACCUGAUUUUCCUAUUGUGUAGGUAAUGAUCUUAAUCACUGUCGUGACUCACUGAUUUUUACCCUUUGACUGCAUUAGAAAUGCACUAGAUAUUCUGUACAAAUAAGAUUUGUAUUGUCCUGAAGCAAUCAUUUUUCCAUUUUUUAAUGUCAGUUUGGAAAAAAACACUUCUUCAUCCUCUAAGUACCUCAGAAUCCACAUCCUACAGAGAGUCUGUAAGUAUAUUCUUAAUUCUGUUCAGAGAAGGGAUUUUCCCAAGGCCAUUCAGAUGCCUUGUGGAGGAGCAGAGACUUGAACCAGAUUUCCCACAUUCCUUCGCUGGUUCACUAAGAGACCAAGAUGGUUUCAGUCAGUGACCUUCCAUGGUUCCUCCUCUGGCUCUGAUCUCACAUUUCGCAGUGCAGCAGAACAAUAUUUUCUGCAAGUUUGUUUAAAUUUGCUAAUGUUCCCACAUGCCUCCUUUCCUAUGGGUGUGCUGGUACUUGCAUCAGGAAAUGUUACCUGAGCAGUUAAAAAAGGAUUGUCAAAGAUCUUCACAUUUUGAUGUCACGUGUCCAGAUUGGCACUUAUAAUAACAGUGCUUUGCACAAGCAGCCUUUCUGCAGACUUGUUGGUUUUAUUCUUCAUCGGGUUUCUGGUAAAAUCCUAAAUCCCAAUUUUCUUCCAGGAUUUCCUAUUUAGGACCUGCUCCAUUCUCUGCUAGUCUAUAGUAAUUGUACUUAUUUUUAGUCAUCUCCAAAAUAUUUCCACUGGGAAAAUCCAGAAAUCACUUACGUCUUGCAACUUUUCUUCGCAAACAGUGCUCUAAAUUGCAGGUAAUAUACUUGUUUUAAAAAUGCUAUCAGUUUGUACAGUGAAAACCAGUACGUUAAAAAGAACAGAG
ensembl:lncRNA